GUGUGUAAAAUAAUCCACAGACCAUCUAGUUCUACAAUAAUCUUUCUAGCCUUUAUCCAAUGUUUUGGAUUUACCCAGACAAAAUGUUCUGUCAGGGUAAAUUUUAAAUUUAAACAAAGUGAAGAAAAAAAUUGGAAUGAAUCUCCAUUAAAAAGCACAUAUCUGCAAUUUCCGUCUCCACUUUGAUACAAUAGUAGUGGGGUGAAAAAAAAGAUAGUUUGUUUCCAGGGAAUUUUCUCUCCACUUCUUUCCUUAGUGGAAAGAAAUUUCAAAGAUCUGACGUCUCUGGGGGUUUAAAGGAAGAAAAAAAAUACAGUUUCUGCCUGCUGCUUCGGGACAAUGGCUUUGUGUUGCAAAGGACAUAAUUGUUGUUUCCCCCUAACUGAGCAGUUAUUGGCACCUCUUUUAAGGAUGUGUCAAAAGUCUUAGGAGAAUUUCAUCUAAGAUUACAUUAUAAAUACAAAAAAAAAUCUUGCCUUGAUUCUCACAACAUUCAUUCAGUUGGAGAAAAAUUGUGCGUUGAGAAGAAAAAUGCAACCGAAAAAUUGUUGUAAUUUUCUACAUUGCUUUUAAAACUUAAUCAAGAGUAUGCGGUUAUUUAAUUUGUAUUAAUGUGCUAUGUACAGUACAUGAAAUGACACAGAAGCCCCUUUUUAAGAACCGGUCUUCAAAUUGUGAAAGUCAAGCAAUCGUGGCAUUAAACAUUAAAGUUAGGCAAUUGCGUAACUACUGCAUAGAAAUUGUGGCAAUCCUAAACUUAAACAUGUCACAGUCUGUGAGAAAUAAAAUGUUUAAAACAACUGUAAUGGUGACAAACGAGGCUGGACGAAGGUCAAAGUUUAUAUAUACUUCACAAACAGUGAGGGGAAUGAUAAGGGAGGGAAAACAAUCUUAAAAACCCAUAAUUAGAGAACUGAAGAAAGGAAAAUUAUCUUAGGAUUACAGAAUCUUCAGAAUCCUUACACGCUGUCAUGAGGGGGAUUUUUCCUAUGUAUGUUUUAGUCAUAUCACCCUAAAAAUUAACUUUAUGCUAACAAACAUUCCAGGUACAUUUAAUAUAAAACAUUAUAAAAAGUGUUGUUGAGACGUUUACCCCAGACACGCACCAUACAUGCACGCACACACAAACUACGGACACAAAGAUUCUACACAAAAGCCUUUUGUUUUAUAUGGAAACUUUCUGUAGAAACGAAACUUAACUUUAGUUAAUUUAGAGCAUCGGAUGACCACUGGGAGGACCUUUAUUUAAUUAAAUUGUUUGCUACUAAAAAAUUAUUA